AAAGAAUCAAAAAGUUUCUGGUGUCUCUUAAGGGGACAUCUGCAAUAAUGGCUUCUCAAUGCAGGUAUGAAGCCAGUACUAUUUUGAAGAAUAUGUGCUUGACAGAGCUUACAUUAGGUGACAUACUUCAGAUCUUGAACAUGGUAAUUACCAUAAAGAAAUGAAUUAUUCAUAAUCAAGCAGGAUGGCAGCCCAUCAUCAUCGCUGUUGAAGAGCGCAGCCCUGAAUUGGGCACGAUAUCUGGUUCAUAAAGGUUUGACUUAGCUAUCUGUGGUAAGGGAAAGGAGCCUCUUGAUAGUUUGAAACAAACUGAGUGUAAAUUGAUAGAUGAUUUGUUGCAAUAAGGUUGGUAAACAGUAAGUCUCCUUGUGCUAAGACUCAUUCUGUAGAUUUACUGGUGAUGAAAGUUGUUACACAUGAUGGCUACUGUCUAGAUUUUUUAUUAGAGAUGAUGUUUCUAGUGAAAGUUUGCUAGAUGUGUCAAAGAGUAUACAAUGCAAGGCUCUGAGGUACAA